rnacentral:rRNA from 1 species
CCCUUAGAUGUUCUGGGCCGCACGCGCGCUACACUGAUGCAUUCAACGAGCCUAUCCUUGACCGACAGGUCCGGGUAAUCUUUGAAUCUGCAUCGUGACGGGGAUAGAUUAUUGCAAUUAUUAAUCUUCAACGAGGAAUGCCUAGUAGGCGCAAGUCAUCAGCUUGCGUCGAUUACGUCCCUGCCCUUUGUACACACCGCCCGUCGCUCCUACCGAUUGGGUGUGCUGGUGAAAUGUUCGGAUCGGCCGUUUGUCGCGGUUUCCGCGUCAUGUGGCUGAGAAGUUCAUUAAACCCUCCCGCCUAGAGGAAGGAGAAGGCGUAACA